rnacentral:rRNA from 1 species
GGAAGUAAAAGUCGUAACAAGGAAUUUUUGAACCUGCGGAAGGAUCAUUACUGAAGAGACCGAGCGUUAGCGAGGUUUUGCGAUCAACUUGUAUUUAAAACCCACUCUUCAAUGUAUAAAAUUUGAAUUAAUGAUAAAUUAAAAGAUCACUUUCAACAACGGAUCUCUUGGCUCUCGCAUCGAUGAAGAACGUAGCGAAGUGCGAUAAGUAAUGUGAAUUGCAGUAUUCCGUGAAUCAUCGAACCUUUGAACGCAUAUUGCACUUUCUGGUAUUCCGGAAAGUAUGCCUGUUUGAGGGUCAGUUAAAUAAAAAUCGGUGUUGUUGCCGCUUUCCGUGGUGACGCGUCGGAAUUGAGUCGUCUUCGGUUAAGUGACUUAAAAUUUUAUAUGAUUUUCGAACGUAUUUAAAUUUAUUUGAACGUUUGAUAUCGAAUGCUUAUUAGGUUCGGUCAUCCUCAUGACUCGCGCCUAUAAUUUUUCAUUAAAUGACCUCAAAUCAGGUAAGAAUACCCGCUGAACUUAAGCAUAUCAAUAAGCGGAGGA